rnacentral:rRNA from 1 species
GAUUCUGGCUCAGGAUGAACGCUGGCGGCGUGCCUAAUACAUGCAAGUCGAACGAGACGGAAGGGAGCUUGCUCCUGGAUGUCGAGUGGCGAACGGGUGAGUAACACGUAGGUAACCUACCUUACAGUUUGGGAUACCCGAGGGAAACCUUGGCUAAUACCGGAUAAUUCUUUGGAGGCAUCUCCAGAAGCUAAAAGGGGCCUUUAAAGCCUCGCUGAAAGAUGGACCUGCGGCGCAUUAGCUAGUUGGUGAGAUAACAGCCCACCAAGGCGAGGAUGCGUAGCCGACCUGAGAAGGUGAACGGCCACACUGGAACUGAGACACGGUCCAGACUCCUACGGGAGGCAGCAGUAGGGAGUUUUCGGCAAUGGGGGAAACCCUGACCGAGCCAACGCCGCGUGAGUGAUGAAGGUCUUCGGAUUGUAAACUUCUUUUAUGAGGGACGAAGGAAGUGACGGUACCUCAUGAAUAAGCCACGGCUAACUACGUGCCAGCCGCUGC